AUAUGGAUCGUCCCAGAAGAUGAUGGACUUUGCCUGGAUAUCAACAUGCCUGACCAAAGAAAGUAGUCCUAAUAUUCAUCAGAAUUGUCUAUGGAUUGGAAUUGCCUUUGGAUUAGAAAAUUAAUAGUUCCUACCUUCGCCACUUUCCAUGCCUUCUACAAAAAUCC